AGAGUUUGAUCCUGGCUCAGAUUGAACGCUGGCGGCAUGCCUUACACAUGCAAGUCGAACGGUAACAGGUCUUCGGACGCUGACGAGUGGCGAACGGGUGAGUAAUAUAUCGGAACGUGCCCAGUAGUGGGGGAUAGCCCGGCGAAAGCCGGAUUAAUACCGCAUACGACCUACGGGUGAAAGGGGGGGAUCGCAAGACCUCUCGCUAUUGGAGCGGCCGAUAUCAGAUUAGGUAGUUGGUGGGGUAAAAGCCUACCAAGCCUGCGAUCUGUAGUUGGUCUGAGAGGACGACCAGCCACACUGGGACUGAGACACGGCCCAGACUCCUACGGGAGGCAGCAGUGGGGAAUUUUGGACAAUGGGCGCAAGCCUGAUCCAGCAAUGCCGCGUGCAGGAAGAAGGCCUUCGGGUUGUAAACUGCUUUUGUCAGGGAAGAAAUCCUCUGGGUUAAUACCUCGGGGGGAUGACGGUACCUGAAGAAUAAGCACCGGCUAACUACGUGCCAGCAGCCGCGGUAAUA
rnacentral:rRNA from 1 species